UACGUAGGGUGCAAGCGUUGUCCGGAAUUAUUGGGCGUAAAGAGCUCGUAGGCGGUCUGUCGCGUCUGCUGUGAAAACUCGGGGCUUAACCCCGGGCCUGCAGUGGGUACGGGCAGACUAGAGUGCGGUAGGGGAGGCUGGAAUUCCUGGUGUAGCGGUGAAAUGCGCAGAUAUCAGGAGGAACACCGGUGGCGAAGGCGGGUCUCUGGGCCGUAACUGACGCUGAGGAGCGAAAGCAUGGGGAGCGAACAGG
rnacentral:rRNA from 1 species